rnacentral:rRNA from 1 species
GUUUGUAUGCGGCGGCUACCAUGCAGUCGUACGAGAAGGUUCCUUCGGGAACUGGAGAGUGGCGCACGGGUGAGUAACGCGUGGGGACCUACCUCUUAGUGGGGGAUAACGGUUGGAAACGACCGCUAAUACCGCAUACGCCCUUCGGGGGAAAGAUUUAUCGCUAAGAGAUGGACCCGCGUUGGAUUAGAUAGUUGGUGAGGUAACGGCUCACCAAGUCAGCGAUCCAUAGCUGGUUUGAGAGGAUGAUCAGCCACACUGGGACUGAGACACGGCCCAGACUCCUACGGGAGGCAGCAGUGGGGAAUAUUGGACAAUGGGCGCAAGCCUGAUCCAGCCAUGCCGCGUGAGUGAAGAAGGCCUUCGGGUUGUAAAGCUCUUUCAGAUGCGAAGAUGAUGACGGUAACAUCAGAAGAAGCCCCGGCUAAUUUCGUGCCAGCAGCCGCGGUAAUACGAAAGGGGCAAGCGUUGUUCGGAUUUACUGGGCGUAAAGGGCACGCAGGCGGUCCUGCCAG